rnacentral:rRNA from 1 species
GACCUCGGAUCAGGCAGGGAUACCCGC